GCGCUGAGUGAUGUUUAGUAAGUGCUCUUAUUCUCAUUUACUUACAAAACGAGGUGUUAAUACGAUAUUAAAGAGUAAAAUAGUUACAAUUUGGCUCAUGUAUUAAAUCAAAUACAAAUGGAGUUUAUAGCUCUAAAUUUAAUCGAAAACACUGGAUUAAAUGUGACUUUAACGUCCAGUCAUUUAACAGCAAUUUGUUAUCCAAAAUAAUUCUGCUCAAAACUCGAUUUGCCUCUACUGUUCGUCAGGUAGUGUAGGGUAGAGUUGAGUAGUAGAGCUCAUGGGCAUAUAAUUCCGUAAUUAUAAUUAUCCAAAGUGUAAUUUCUAGCUCUACCCAAAUGUCCUUUUAAAUGCCCAGUACUUAGAUAUAUAAGACUGAGCUUGGCAACUGUCGGUUCAGAUCAUUUGUCACAUUUUUUUUUACUCAUUCAUUCGCAUAAUCAUAACUUUAAAUUAUUGUAUUUGCAUAAUUUUGUACCGUGUACUUAUUUAUAUAUUUUUGCAUUAUUAUACUAACUAUCUUUCCUUUCUUAUAUUCUUUUAACUCUAUUAUUAUUAUCAUUUUCGUGAUAUUUUUUUAAUGCCCGUGAUUAUUUUAUUUUGUAAU